rnacentral:rRNA from 1 species
GGGCCCGCACAAGCGGUGGAUUAUGUGGAUUAAUUCGAUGCAACGCGAAAAACCUUACCUGGCCUUGACAUGUACCGAAUUUAGCAGAGAUGCUUUAGUGCUCGUAAGAGAACGGUAACACAGGUGCUGCAUGGCUGUCGUCAGCUCGUGUCGUGAGAUGUUGGGUUAAGUCCCGCAACGAGCGCAACCCUUGCCAUUAAUUGCCAUCAUUUAGUUGGGCACUUUAAUGGGACUGCCGGUGACAAACCGGAGGAAGGUGGGGAUGACGUCAAGUCCUCAUGGCCCUUAUGUGUUGGGCUACACACGUGCUACAAUGGUACUUACAAUGGGAUGCAAAGAGGCGACUCUUAGCUAAUCCCUAAAAUGUACCUCAGUUCGGAUUGUACUCUGUAACUCGAGUGCAUG